rnacentral:rRNA from 1 species
CGAACGAUCUUACGUUGAAACUGUAGUGGUAGCAAUAUCGCUGCAGAAUUGAUGUUUGAUAGUGGCAAAAGGGUGCGUAACACAUGGGUAAUUUACCUAAGGGUUCGGAAUAACCUGCCGAAAGGCGGGCUAAUACUGGAUAAGACCACGACUCGGCAUCGAGUUGAGGUUAAAGGGGAGGACCGCAAGGCUUCCCACCCUAUGAUGAGCCCGUGUCCUAUCAGCUAGUUGGUGAGGUAACGGCCCACCAAGGCUUUUGACGGGUAGCUGGCCUUAGAGGGUGGUCAGCCACAUUGGGACUGAGAUACUGCCCAGACUCCUACGGGAGGCUGCAGUCGAGGAUCUUUAGCAAUGGGCGAAAGCCUGACUAUGCGACGCCGCGUGGACGAUGAAGGCCUUCGGGUUGUAAAGUCCUGUCAGGGGGGAUGAAUAUCUGUGACCUAAUACGUUGCAGGUUUGACAGUACCCUCAGAGGAAGCCACGGCUAACUCCGUGCCAGCAGCCGCGGUAAUACGGAGGUGGCGAGCGUUAUUCGGAUUUACUGGGUGUAAAGGGUAUGUAGGCGGGCUUGCAAGUCAGGCGUGAAAGCCCUUGGCUCAACCAAGGAAUUGCGCAUGAAACUGCUUGUCUUGAGUGCGGGAGAGGAGAACGGAAUUCCCGGUGUAAGGGUGAAAUCUGUAGAGAUCGGGAGGAACACCAGUGGCGAAAGCGGUUCUCUGGUCCGUUACUGACGCUGAAAUACGAAAGCUUGGGGAGCAAACAGGAUUAGAUACCCUGGUAGUCCAAGCCGUAAACGAUGGGCACUAGGUGUAGUCUCGCAAGGGGCUGUGCCGCAGUUAACACAUUAAGUGCCCC